AUGACGUCUGUGCUUCCUCCCUCCCGAGGGUUGUGGGCGGCCGUGCAGGUGGUCGAGUCCGGAGGGGGUGAACAGAAACCCGGGGGGUCCCUGGCCCUCCUCUGCCAGGCCUCCGGCUUCACCCUCAGCAACCACUACAUGCAAUGGGUGCGACAGGCGCCCGGGAAGGGGCUCGAAUACAUCGCGUAUAUCAACAACGGUGGUGGCGAAUACUACGCGCCGGCUUUCAAAGGGCGCUUCAGGAUCUCCAGGGAUGACUCCCGGAGCACGCUCACGCUGCAGAUGAGCAGCCUCAGGGACGAGGACACGGCCACCUACUACGAUGGUGAAGCGCCCUUUGACAGCCGGCGCGUAGGCUGUGCUGCUACCAUCGUUGUUAAUAGCUGCGACCCUCUACCGCACCAGACCCAACAUCCCCGCCCUGGGUCCGCAGAUCCCAGCAUUUUCCCGACACCCCUGCACCCCCAUCCCACACCCGGACCCCUGUCACCAGCCCAGACCUUUGCUUGGUGCCCAAACCCUGGGCUCUGGAGCUUCUGCCUGCACAUGGGGAAGGGUUUUUGGCUCACUGCAGAGAUUCUGGGAAGGCGCUGA